UCAGCUGCCUGGGACUAAAUCAACAACAGUUACUUUCCUACGCAGACGAGACCGGAAGGGGCUGGGAGAGGAGAGGAAUGGAAGCAGGAGCCCACGAUCAAGAGAGUGUCCACACUGUGGAGGUGGAAGCAGUGCCACCCCAGCACUUGGGCACCGCCUCGAUGGUUGGUAUGGGACCACUCUAUACCCUGGAGGACUCAGGGAGCACGACCAAUCGUUAGGUUCAGUCGGACCGCCGUCGUCGGACCUCGUUGCCCCCAAGCCGCUAGUCAAUAAAGUGAUUGGUUCGCAA